rnacentral:tRNA from 1 species
GGGCAAGUAGCUCAGCUGGUCAGAGCGCCACGUUGACAUCGUGGAGGCCGUAGGUUCGAGUCCUAUCUUGCCCACCA